ACAGGAACUGUUCAAGACUAAGUAAUUGCAGCAAGCUGGAAUAUUUAAAUAUGAUCAGAAAACCUGAAAAAACAUGUUUGCUGAACAAACCUGCCCACAUAUUUAACAUGAAGGAGUGUGGAAAUGGUGUUAUUGAUGGUGACAAUGAAGAAUGUGACUGUGGAAUUGAAGAGAAUAUAGAAGGAAUGUGGCUCCAAAGCAUCUUUCUGAAACAAGGAAGAAAAGAGAGACAACUUCACUGGAUGCAAAGAUUUCACAAUCAGUAUUUAUUUCCUGACCACCUACAGCCUAAAACCAUAACUG